rnacentral:rRNA from 1 species
UGGGGAAUAUUGCACAAUGGGCGCAAGCCUGAUGCAGCCAUGCCGCGUGUAUGAAGAAGGCCUUCGGGUUGUAAAGUACUUUCAGUCGGGAGGAAGGUGGUAAGGUUAAUAACCUUAUCAAUUGACGUUACCCGCAGAAGAAGCACCGGCUAACUCCGUGCCAGCAGCCGCGGUAAUACGGAGGGUGCAAGCGUUAAUCGGAAUUACUGGGCGUAAAGCGCACGCAGGCGGUCUGUCAAGUCGGAUGUGAAAUCCCCGGGCUUAACCUGGGAACUGCAUUCGAAACUGGCAGGCUAGAGUCUUGUAGAGGGGGGUAGAAUUCCAGGUGUAGCGAUGAAAUGCGUAGAGAUCUGGAGGAAUACCGGUGGCGAAGGCGGCCCCCUGGACAAAGACUGACGCUCAGGUGCGAAAGCGUGGGGAGCAAACAGG